AAGAACGGACCUCCAGAAUGAAUUAAGUUCUUAACCAGAGGUACCACUGUACACCAGAAUAGAAGAUACAGUGGUACCUUGGGUUAAGUACUUAAUUCGUUCCGGAG